rnacentral:rRNA from 1 species
AGGCAGCAGUGGGGAAUUUUGGACAAUGGGCGAAAGCCUGAUCCAGCAAUGCCGCGUGCAGGAAGAAGGCCUUCGGGUUGUAAACUGCUUUUGUACGGAGCGAAAAAGUCUGCCUUAAUACGGCGGGCCCAUGACGGUACCGUAAGAAUAAGCACCGGCUAACUACGUGCCAGCAGCCGCGGUAAUACGUAGGGUGCGAGCGUUAAUCGGAAUUACUGGGCGUAAAGCGUGCGCAGGCGGUUAUAUAAGACAGUUGUGAAAUCCCCGGGCUCAACCUGGGAAUUGCAUCUGUGACUGUAUAGCUAGAGUACGGUAGAGGGGGAUGGAAUUCCGCGUGUAGCAGUGAAAUGCGUAGAUAUGCGGAGGAACACCGAUGGCGAAGGCAAUCCCCUGGACCUGUACUGACGCUCAUGCACGAAAGCGUGGGGAGCAAACAGGAUUAGAUACCCUGGUAGUCCACGCCCUAAACGAUGUCAACUGGUUGUUGGGUGCAUUAGUACUCAGUAACGAAGCUAACGCGUGAAGUUGACCGCCUGGGGAGUACGGCCGCAAGGUUGAAACUCAAAAGAAUUGACGG